rnacentral:rRNA from 1 species
UACAGAGGGUGCAAGCGUUAUCCGGAUUUACUGGGUUUAAAGGGUGCGUAGGCGGGAUUUUAAGUCAGUGGUGAAAGCUCGUCGCUUAACGACGGAAUUGCCAUUGAAACUGAAAUUCUUGAGAUACAGUGAGGUUGGCGGAAUGAGACAUGUAGCGGUGAAAUGCAUAGAGAUGUCUUAGAACACCAAUUGCGAAGGCAGCUGACUGGCUGUUAUCUGACGCUGAGGCACGAAAGCGUGGGGAUCAAACAGG